GGAGAACAAAAACUGUCAACACAAGAAGGGUCAGUUGUUCUGCGAGGUCCUGAAAACAUCCUGGCAAAAUGAGAUGAUCAAGUUAGAUGCUCACCCAAUGUGUUGCUGAGUCAUCGAGGAUCCAGCUUGUUCUUGAAACAUUGAAGUUUGUGCUCUGCAAGUGAACGACUCCUUGUGGUGCCAUCCCAAAGAAGUUCACAAUCACUCUCACGGAUCUUUUCCUGGACUGUGUCCAGCUGGUGGAAUGACCUCCCAAUCUCAAUCCGAACUGCUGAGUCUUUACUCAUUUUCAAGAAACAUCUUAAGACUCAUCUUUUUCACCAGCACUUAACCAACUAAUGCUAGCACUUUUCCUUCUUUUCUUGUCUUUCAUAUUAAAAAAAAAUAUAAAAAAAACCUGUCUAUGCGUUCUGUACUAGACUAACUGAGACUUGUCAUGGCACUUGUAUACUGUUGUUGUUCGCUUGUACACCUGACUGCUUCUGUUGUUCUUAUUUGUAAGUCGCUUUGGAUAAAAUCGUCUGUUAAAUGAUUAAAUGUAAAUGUUUAUACAGGACGGUACAGAAAGUGCAGAAGUGGGAGAGAGUGGAGGGGACGGCGUCAGAAAGGACCUAGCGCUGGGACUCUUUCAAGGAUCACCCGAACCACAACCACACUGUAUACACGAGGCUGCUGGUUCUAACAUUUUAGAGUGCCCUGCGGUAGAAAUCUCAUCUGCAUGCCCCACGGUAAAGAAGACACAUUUCCCGUUAGAAAUCAACUGGUUGAAGGUUCCCUGCUCGUACUGUUCAACACAUUUUCACUGCAAAAAUGUACACAACUCUUGUAAUGAGACACAUUACUAAAACAUGUUUUUGACAGAAACUGUAGUUUUCCACCCAAAUAAAAGAUCCACUGGUUUCAGUCAUAAAGGUACAAGGGUUUGUCUUGUAAGUGCUGCAAAAAAUAUGCAUUUAUGUGCCAAUUUAUUUUUACAAAAACCUAUAAAUAUUAUUGUAUUUGGAUUGUUCUACUACAUGUUUUUAGCAUUACCUCCAUGCAUAGGCUACUCUGCAUAAUAAAG